rnacentral:lncRNA from 1 species
UAGUGGAAAUAAAAUUGUUUUCCAUCAUUGAUUUCUACAUACUGAUUAUAAUGUAUUUAUUUUUGGCAGAGUGGAGUGAAAAGUGGAUUCACAAAGUUCCAGCAUUGACACUUUCAAGGAAUGACUACAAUUAGUACUGGAAAUUGAAGACAGGAAACCACCUAACUAGAGGAGAGAUUGACUACAGAGGGAGCCAUGCAUGAUAAUUCUGAAAAACAAGCAAUGUUUAACAUUCAAAUAAAACGAAGAUAAGACUGAAACUUAGAUGCUCA